rnacentral:rRNA from 1 species
UACGUAGGGUGCAAGCGUUAAUCGGAAUUACUGGGCGUAAAGCGUGCGCAGGCGGUUUUGUAAGACUGUCGUGAAAUCCCCGGGCUUAACCUGGGAAUGGCGAUGGUGACUGCAAGGCUAGAGUUUGGCAGAGGGGGGUAGAAUUCCACGUGUAGCAGUGAAAUGCGUAGAGAUGUGGAGGAACACCGAUGGCGAAGGCAGCCCCCUGGGUUAAGACUGACGCUCAUGCACGAAAGCGUGGGGAGCAAACAGG